rnacentral:lncRNA from 1 species
CAUGCUCUUAGUACUAUCCCAUUUCUAUAUUCUUCACAAUUUACACUGGACAUCUUGCAUACAUGUUACGCACUAGACUGUUCGACAUCAACUAGAUUGUUGUUAUACAUCUUGCAUUACAAAUUUCAUUUCUCAUACCAACAAGUGCAUCAUACCUGCAUAUGAUGUAACACUUCCAUUCAGACUAUGCUGUUAUGAAUACCUUAUUUAUUCAGGUGUCUACUUUAAGGUUACUUGAUACAAAUAUACUACUAUACUACAUAGUUUUUUAGCAACUUUGCAUACUUAUUCUCCAUAUACAAUGGUUCACAUCCUUAUACAUUGGUUCUACACCUACAUCUGUUUACAUGACUACAAUGUCAUUGGUACUAUUAGUUGUCUGUACUUGCACACAUACAAAUU